rnacentral:rRNA from 1 species
UACGGAGGGUGCAAGCGUUGUCCGGAUUCAUUGGGUUAAAGGGUGCGCAGGCGGGACAUUAAGUCAGGGUGAAAGACGGUUGCUCAACAAUCGCAGUGCCUUUGAUACUGGUGUUCUUGGUGACCUUGAGGUAGGCGGAAUGGGUGGUGUAGCGGUGAAAUGCAUAGAUACCACCCAGAACUCCGAUUGCGAAGGCAGCCUACUGGAGGUUUACCGACGCUCAGGCACGAAAGCGUGGGGAUCAAACAGG